rnacentral:rRNA from 1 species
CAGCAGCCACGGUAAUACGAGGGGGGCAAGCGUUGUUCGGAAUUAUUGGGCGUAAAGGGUGCGUAGGCGGUCUGAUAAGUUCUAUGUGAAAUCUAUGGGCUCAACCCAUAGUCUGCAUGGAAAACUGUCAGGCUUGAGAAUGGGAGAGGUGAGUGGAAUUUCCGGUGUAGCGGUGAAAUGCGUAGAUAUUGGGAGGAACACCAGUGGCGAAGGCGGCUUUCUGGACUGCAACUGACGCUGAGGCUCGAAAGCCAGGGGAGCGAACGGGAUUAGAUACCCGGGUAGUCCCUGUCUCUUAUAC